GACCCUUAUGAAAAGAAAGAAGGCCCAGAAGCUUGCUGUUCAGAAGGCUUUAUCAGAUGCAUUCCAGAAACUGUUCACUGUAGUUUUAGGUAAGACUUCUUUGUCUUUGAAGUACUUCAGUUUCAAUGAGCAAAUAAACUCAUUUUGAAAGUUAAUUGGAUGAAAAUGUGGAUAUCUAAAACCUUCCAUAUAAUGCUUUCAUUCACUAAAUUCUUUCAUAGCAAUGGUCUCAAAUUUGUCCUGUGAUAUUUGUGAGAAAAAUGACUGCAAAUAUUAUUGUCCCCAGUUUAUGAAUGUAGAACAACUUGCCUAAGCUCAUGCAGAAAGUAUUUGAUCCAAGUCUUCCUUCUCAAUUGCUUGCCUGUC
rnacentral:lncRNA from 1 species